UUCCAAAUAUUUUUUUGCAUAAAAUUAUAUAUUUUAUUCAAGUAAAAGAAUUUAAUUUUAUUAAAAUAUAUAUAUGAGUUUUUUCUGGGUUAUUUUUUAAAAUAAUUUUAUUAUAUUUAUUUUUAGUUUAUAGUUUUGAUUAAUUUAUUAAUAUAAUAUUCAUUUAUAAUAAUUAUUUUAUAACAAAGAUUGUGCCAGCAGUUGCGGUUAUACAAUCAUAAAUAUUAAAUUUUUUUGGUUUAUAUUAAGUUUUAUUUUUUUUUUAAUUUAAAAUUUAUUAGUGUUGUUUGGUGGAAUAUCAAUAUUUUAUUUUAUUAAUUGGACUAUUAUAUAUGAAAGUUAUUUUUUAAGACUAGGAUUAGAUACCCUAUUAUUUUAAUUGUAAAUUUUAAAACCUAAUUAUUAAUAGAUAAGAUCUUUAAAUUUAAAGGAUUUGGCGGUAAUUUAGCUUUUUCAGAAGAACCUGUUCUUUAAUUGAUAAACCACAAUAAAUUUUACUUUUAUUUUGCUUAUAUACCUCUAUCAUUGAAUGUUUUAUGAAAAUUAUUUUCUGAAUGGUUUUUUAACUUAAAUGUUAGGUCAAGGUUUAGUAAUAUAAAAGUAGAAAUGGGUUACAUUGUUUAUAUAUAAUAAUGAUUAUAGUAUGGAAAUUUAUAUGAUUUUGGAUUUGAUAGUAAUUUUUUUUAGGAAAAAAAAUUGAUAUUGGCUCUAUAUUACCUAUGUACAUAUCGCUCGUCGCUCCUAAUUUAGGAUAAGUCGUAACAAAGUAGAUUUAUUGGAAAAUGAAUCUAGAAUGU
rnacentral:ncRNA from 1 species